rnacentral:rRNA from 1 species
AGAGUUUGAUCAUGGCUCAGGACGAACGCUGACGGUGUGCUUUAGGCAUGCAAGUCGAACGAGAAAGCCCUUCGGGGUGAGUAGAGUGGCGAACGGGUGAGUAACACGUGGGCAACCUGCCCCUCGCAGGGGGAUAACCGGAGGAAACUCCGGCUAAUACCCCGUAAGCUUUCAGGGUCGCAUGGCUCUGUAAGGAAAGGUAGCUUCGGCCAUCCGGCGAGGGAUGGGCCCGCGGUGCAUUAGCUAGUUGGUGGGGUAAUGGCCCACCAAGGCGACGAUGCGUAGCUGGUCUGAGAGGAUGAUCAGCCACACUGGGACUGAGACACGGCCCAGACUCCUACGAGAGGCAGCAGCCAGGAAUCUUGGGCAAUGGGCGAAAGCCUGACCCAGCAACACCGUGUGGGCGAUGAAGGCCUUCGGGUCGUAAAGCCCUGUUGAUAGGGACGAAGGGCGAAGGGUUAAUAGCCCCUAGCCUGACGGUACCUUUCGAGGAAGCCCCGGCUAACUACGUGCCAGCAGCCGCGGUAAUACGUAGGGGGCGAGCGUUGUCCGGAAUUAUUGGGCGUAAAGAGCGUGUAGGCGGUUCGGUAAGUCUGUCGUGAAAUCCUGGGGCUCAACCCUGGGCGUGCGAUGGAUACUGCCGGGCUAGAGGGUGGUAGAGGCGAGUGGAAUUCCCGGUGUAGCGGUGAAAUGCGCAGAUAUCGGGAGGAACACCAGUAGCGAAGGCGGCUCGCUGGGCCACACCUGACGCUGAGACGCGAAAGCUAGGGGAGCGAACAGGAUUAGAUACCCCAGUAGUCC